rnacentral:misc_RNA from 1 species
GUGAGUCAUCGAAUCUUUGAACGCACAUUGCGCCCAUUGGUAUUCCGAUGGGCAUGCCUGUUCGAGCGUCAUUAUCCUCCCUCAAACCUCGUGUUUGGUGUUGGGCCGCGUUGGUCAAGCGACCAACUGGUCUCAAAGACAAUGACGGCGUCCGUGGGACCCUCGGUGCAACGAGCUUUAACGAGCACGCGUCGAGUUUCAAGGACCCCCCGGGCCGGUCUAGACCUCUAUUUUUCUCAGGUUGACCUCGGAUCAGGUAGGAAUACCCGCUGAACUUAAGCAUAUCAAUAAGCGGAGGA